rnacentral:rRNA from 1 species
UACGUAGGGGGCAAGCGUUGUUCGGAUUUACUGGGCGUAAAGGGCGCGUAGGCGGCAAUUCAAGUCAUCUGUGAAAUCUCCGGGCUUAACUCGGAACGGUCAGAUGAUACUGCUUUGCUAGAGUGCAGAAGGGGCAAUCGGAAUUCUUGGUGUAGCGGUGAAAUGCGUAGAUAUCAAGAGGAACACCUGAGGUGAAGACGGGUUGCUGGGCUGACACUGACGCUGAGGCGCGAAAGCGUGGGGAGCAAACAGG